rnacentral:lncRNA from 1 species
ACAUUCCCAGUUUAAUUCCAGCAUUAAAUUUUGAUUUUAGAAUUCAAAGUGUGGGAGUUACAUGUGAUCCUGGGGCAGGCUCCUUCCCCUGCCUUUGAGUUCUUCUGUCCGCUCAGGGGUUAGAGGUGCUUUGAACUCCUUAGUCGAUGCCUGUAAAUAGCGUUAAUUACCUUUCACACGACGUUAAGGUAUGACGUCACUCUUGAGGUGAUGACUUAAUAAUGAACCCCCUGCCUGGCGCCCUCUGGCGGACGCGGAGCACCACUGCUGAGCGCAGCUCCCCCCGGUGGCUGAGGGGCGGCACUACAUCCCCCGCUGCGAGCACCAGACGCCUCUCCACUGGGAACAGCGGGGCUGAAGUGGAGAGAGCGCAGGGAAGCGACAUCCCGGUCGCCCUCCGCGUCAGGUCCACGUUCAGCCUUUAAUCUCGGUGAUAGGGGCGGGGGGGGCAGAGAUGAUGAGCCAGGGCUGCUCCUCCUCCUCACCAGAGCACACAAACCCAUCAGAACUUGUCUUAGUUUCUCCUUUUUGGAUUAUUUUUGUGAGUUUCUUUUACAAUUCAUAAAAAGCCUUUGCCAAACCAAAGCGUGUGCUCCAUUAAACCUCCGUUCCGUCAUGCAAAUUGCUGUGGACUUUGACUUCCAAGUUCACCUGCUUCACCUUCCUGCCGCUCUCCCUCCACACAUUAACGUUCCGCACGGUGCAGUACCGGCUGUCUGCUGACCUUUCGGCUCCUCGGGGCAGCUCCACCUUGGUGUUCAGUGGAUGCUCCUCUGGGGCUGCUUCCCGCUUCUGCCGCAGCUUCCGACGCUUCCCGGUGAGGAGGCAAAGCCCGGCCAGCAGCAGCAGCAGGGCAAUGGCGGCAAAGGCGCUCCCCAGGGAAGCACCCGAUUGGGAGAAGGAGGCUGCCACGGCAGCUUCCUCCCUCUCCAAGAUCAGCGACUUCAUGUUGGUGCCGUUCUUGAUCUGGUCGCCUUCGUUGUCAUAGAUCAAGGAGUCGUCCAGCGUUGGCCUCCCGUCGGCACCAACCAGGUCCCUGCGGCUGCGUGGCCUCCAGUGGUGAGCGAGGGAGCGCUGGACGCGAGGCCCUGCCAUGCUUUCUGGGCCGAUCACAUAGAUGACCUGAAGGUACCACUGGUGUCCAGCUUCCACCUUGAAGAAAGAGAAGACAGACGCACACAUGGUGCUUUAUAGCUUUUAGAUCAGGUGAUUUUAAGUAAAGGCAGAGUUGGCUGCAUCUUGUGUCCUGUUCCUCAACUCAAAAGCUCAGCAUGGUUUUAUGAGCACCCGCCAUAAUAUUUAUCACCAAGUGAGGUGUUAGUCUUGUUUCCGACAAUGGCAAUAAUUAAUUCAGGAACACCAUCCCUGGCAGUGUUCAAAGCCAGACUGGAUGGGGC